AAUGGAUCAUAACAUGUUGAGAGUUCGUCUUUGUGAAGCAUGAUUUGAUGAAGAAUCGAUUAAACGAAGGGAUAAUGGUUCAUUAAUCGCUCAUAUUGCUAAACUUGAAGCUCAGGUGGAGAUGGUCAAAUGAAUGAUUUAGUUUGCUGCUAUUAUCAUUGGAACCUCGAUUGGUUUAAACGUGGUAAAUGGAGUUAGUUGAGCCAGUCCUCAGAGUGUUGUCAUAACCGAAAGGUAACCUCAAACAGAUUACUUCUUUGGUUGUGAAGAUCGUGUGAUUUUGGAAUAAGAUCGUGUGAUUCUUGAAGUCAUGCAUUAUUUGUGGAAUUUAAGCUAUUUAGUUGAUUU